rnacentral:rRNA from 1 species
GUGUCAGCCGCCGCGGUAAUACGAAGGGGGCUAGCGUUGCUCGGAAUCACUGGGCGUAAAGGGCGCGUAGGCGGCUUAUCAAGUCGGGGGUGAAAGCCCGUGGCUCAACCACGGAAUGGCCUUCGAUACUGGUAGGCUUGAGACCGGAAGAGGACAGCGGAACUGCGAGUGUAGAGGUGAAAUUCGUAGAUAUUCGCAAGAACACCAGUGGCGAAGGCGGCUGUCUGGUCCGGUUCUGACGCUGAGGCGCGAAAGCGUGGGGAGCAAACAGGAUUAGAUACCCUGGUAGUCC